CAGAUCAUAGUUCUUAUUAGAAUUUUCCUUUUACGCUGGAAAGGGUGACUAAAUUUUUAGUUUGAUUUGA
rnacentral:tRNA from 1 species